GAUGAACGCUGACAGAAUGCUUAACACAUGCAAGUCAACUUGAACUUCGGUUUGGGUGGCGGACGGGUGAGUAACGCGUAAAGAACUUGCCUCACAGCUAGGGACAACAUUUGGAAACGAAUGCUAAUACCUGAUAUUAUGAUUAUAUGGCAUCGUAUAAUUAUGAAAGCUAUAUGCGCUGUGAGAGAGCUUUGCGUCCCAUUAGCUAGUUGGAGAGGUAACAGCUCACCAAGGCGAUGAUGGGUAGCCGGCCUGAGAGGGUGAUCGGCCACAAGGGGACUGAGACACGGCCCGUACUCCUACGGGAGGCAGCAGUGGGGAAUAUUGGACAAGGGACCGAGAGUCUGAUCCGGCAAUUCUGUGUGCACGAUGAAGUUUUUCGGAAUGUAAAGUGCUUUCAGUUGGGAAGAAAAAAAUGACGGUACCAACAGAAGAAGUGACGGCUAAAUACGUG
rnacentral:rRNA from 1 species